AAUUUGGGAACAACCCAGCAGGGUGGUUCUGGCUCUGAGUCUCGCAGGAGGCUGCAGUCAAGAGGUCCGUCAGGGCCGUGAUCAUCCGCAGGCUCGACCGGGGCUGGAGAAGCUGCUGCUGGGAUGGCACCCCCAUGUGGCUGGUGGCAGGAGGCCUCUGUUCCUCACGGCGCUGACGCUUGAGUGUCCUUACAACAUGGCAGCGGGCUCCCCCAAGGGUGAAUGAACCUAAAGGGGGCAAGGUGGAAGCCACACUACCUUUUAUGACCUAGCCUCAGAAGACACACAUUCCUGCCAUAUCCUAGUAAUGACGCAACUCCACCCUACUUAAUGUGGGAGAGGACCAACCACACCCAGGCAUGAGUACUAGGAGUCAGAGCUAGAGUGACUGCCUAUGUACAGGAGUGAUUCCCCGCCUACCUGGAGGAGUAAUACUCAAGGAUGGGAUGGCUAAGCCAAAGGAUGGGGUGCUUUGCAAACAUAGAGAGAGAGAAUCUCAAGCAGGCUCCGUGCC